UCCAGCUUUUAAUUCUAUCUUUUCUUGUGUUUACAUAAACUUUCGUUUGCAUUUCAGAAGCCUUAUGGAAAGAUUCCUGUGGCUGACCUGGGAGUAGUGGUGAAUUUCUCCAUCAAUAGGAUUUUGAGAGAGAAAAAAAGUUAACUUCCGCGUAUACAUGUGCUCAGUCAGCUAUCUUGAAACAGAAGCCGGGAAUAGACAUAAAAGCAAGAUAAAAUAAUGGUACUUGAGGCUGCUAUUCUCACUUAGUACUCAUCUCAGUUUUCUAAAGACCCAUCUAAAGAUGUUCAUCUUUAAUUCAUCUGAGAAAAGGAGCAAGAAUACUUCAUGACCAUAAGAAAUGGACUCUCACUCAAAAUGCUGGUCACUGCACAGAAGCAAAGAUUGGAAUCAUUUUCAGAGAAGAAUUUCAAAGUGUCCUAAAUAUGUGAGCAGAGUGAAAUGAACUUUUUUAUGAGAAAGAUAUUAAUUGCUAAAUGAAAAUAAAGAAAGAACUAUAACAAAACCAAUAUUUAUUGUGUACUUUGUAUAUAUAGGUUAGACACUUCUGAAUGCUUGGUAUAUUAACUUUAUUAACUUGUUAAAUCCUCUCAACACUAUGAAAUGGAUGUUACUAUUAUUUUCACCUUAUAGAUGACGAACCUGUGGCAUGAAGAAGUUA